rnacentral:rRNA from 1 species
GAUCAUGGCUCAGGAUGAACGCUAGCUACAGGCUUAACACAUGCAAGUCGAGGGGCAGCGCAGUGUAGCAAUACAUGGGUGGCGACCGGCGCACGGGUGCGUAACGCGUAUCCAACCUUCCCGAUACUCAGGGAUAGCCUUCCGAAAGGGAGAUUAAUACCUGAUGGUGUUUUAAUUCCGCAUGUUAAUGAAACUAAAGAUUUAUCGGUAUCGGAUGGGGAUGCGUGACAUUAGAUAGUAGGCGGGGUAACGGCCCACCUAGUCUACGAUGUCUAGGGGUUCUGAGAGGAAGGUCCCCCACACUGGAACUGAGACACGGUCCAGACUCCUACGGGAGGCAGCAGUGAGGAAUAUUGGUCAAUGGUCGGAAGACUGAACCAGCCAAGUAGCGUGAAGGAUGAAGGUUCUAUGGAUUGUAAACUUCUUUUAUACGGGAAUAAAACCACCUACGUGUAGGUGCUUGUAUGUACCGUAUGAAUAAGCAUCGGCUAACUCCGUG